CCACCACGCCUGGCUACAUGAAAUUUUGCACCAGAGUUUUAGAUACUUGCUGUUGACUUUCUUCUAUUUACAGUGACUCUGAGAAUGUAUUUGCAGCUUUUUAAAUAUUAUUAGCUUUCUGCUAAGUCUCCUGGAAAGUCCUUAAAAGAGUUUCUCUGUUUUUAUCAUUUAUUUGAGAGAACAGUAGCUUUAUUAGCUUGUAGCCAGAAAUAGAUUUUAACGUUAUAACUCAAUUCCCAGAAUUAAAUUUAUCAGUUGUAGAAAUUCAGCUCUGAACUGUUAACUUUUGCUGUAUGAUGUGAAAUGAGAGCAGGAGGAGAGGAAGUAUGUUACUGGCAGAAGACAAGUCAGACAGGAUCUUCUCAGGUAUCCUCAUAGUCAAUUGCUCUUGGCAACUUGUUCCAUUUUCCUACCAUCAGAGGAAGUUGACAGGAUGUCAUAACAUGAAAGGAGGCCGUUGUAGGAAAAGCUUUGGAAUGCCAUGGACUAUUAUGUGGCCAUUAAAAAUAAUGAAUUAGAGGGCAUCCAAAUAAUUUGCAGGAAUUUCCAUAAAUUAUUGUCGAAUGAGGAAAACAAGAGGCCAAAGAGUGUGAUGCUGUAUGGAGCACUCAGCACUAGUCUCUCUUGCUCGCAGGUUGUACGUUUGGCAGGAGUAGCAGCUAAAUCAACCUUGAUGAAUGGGAACCUAGGUUGGACAUAUGCAUAGCCUCUCUCCCUGCCAUGAUGGUUACUUCAUCCACUUGGCCAUCUGAUUGGGGUUGCUGAUGACAGAGGCUGACUGAUAUGCAAUUGGUUAAAAAUCUUGAGAUGAAACAUCUUGGAAUCGUCCUGAACAUAUCUUGACUUGUGUUUUUAUAAGAAGAGGAGAGCACAAGAGAGCUCCAUAGGGAAGAAGGUGAUAUGACAACAGUGGCAGAAAUUGGAAUGAUGAGUCUGCAAG
rnacentral:lncRNA from 10 species